GACGAACGCUGGCGGCGUGCCUAAUACAUGCAAGUCGAACGCAGUGGGGACGGGUGAGUAACACGUGGGUAACCUCCCAUCAGAGGGGAUAACACUUGGAAACAGGUGCUAAACCGAUACUGAUGGAUGGACCCGCGGUGCAUUAGCUAGUUGGUGAGGUAACGCCUCACCAGGGCCACGAUGCAUAGCCGACCUGGGAGGGUAGUCGGCCACACGGGGACGGAGACACGGCCCAGACUCCUACGGGAGGCAGCAGUAGGGAAUCUUCGGCAAUGGACGAAAGUCUGACCGAGCAACGCCGCGUGAGUGAAGAAGGUUUUCGGAUCGUAAAACUCUGUUGUUAGGGAGGCGUUAUCUAACCAGAAAGCCACGGCUAACUACGUGCCAGCAGCCGCGGUAAUAC
rnacentral:rRNA from 1 species